AAUGAACGCUGGCGGCAUGCCUAAUACAUGCAAGUCGAACGAGGCCUUCGGGUCUAGUGGCGCACGAGGACGUAACGCGGGGGAACCUGCCCUUAGGUUCCGAAUCACUCCCCGAGGGGGGUGCUAAUGACGCGUAAUCUCUUAGGGCAAAAGAUUUCUCGCCUUUGGAUGGGCCCGCGUUGGCUUCGCUAGUUCGUAGAGUAAACGCCUACCAAGGGGACGAUCCAUAGCUGGUGCGAGAGGAUGGUCAGCCACCCUGGGACUGGGACCCGGCCCGGACUCUUGCGGGAGGCAGGAGGGGGGAACGUUGGACACUGGGUGAAAGCCGGAUGCAGCAAGGCCGUGAGAGUGAUGAAGGCCUUAGGGUUGUAAAUCUCUUUUAACCGGGAUCAUAAUGACAGUACCGUAAGAAUAAGCGCCGGCUAACUCCGUG
rnacentral:rRNA from 1 species